rnacentral:rRNA from 1 species
UCGGAACGUGUCCUUAAGUGGGGAAUAACGCAUCGAAAGAUGUGCUAAUACCGCAUAUCUCUGAGGAGAACAGCAGGGGAUCGCAAGACCUUGCGCUAAAGGAGCGGCCGAUGUCUGAUUAGCUAGUUGGUGGGGUAAAGGCUUACCAAGGCAACGAUCAGUAGUUGGUCUGAGAGGACGGCCAACCACACUGGGACUGAGACACGGCCCAGACUCCUACGGGAGGCAGCAGUGGGGAAUUUUGGACAAUGGGCGAAAGCCUGAUCCAGCCAUGCCGCGUGAGUGAAGAAGGCCUUCGGGUUGCAAAGCUCUUUUAGUCGGAAAGAAAGAGUUGCAAUGAAUAAUUGUGAUUUAUGACGGUACCGACAGAAAAAGCACCGGCUAACUACGUGCCAGCAGCCGCGGUAAUACGUAGGGUGCGAGCGUUAAUCGGAAUUACUGGGCGUAAAGGGUGCGCAGGCGGUCUUGCAAGUCAGAUGUGAAAGCCCCGGGCUUAACCUGGGAAUUGCGUUUGAAACUACAAGGCUAGAGUGCAGCAGAGGG